rnacentral:rRNA from 1 species
UACGUAGGGGGCUAGCGUUGUCCGGAAUCAUUGGGCGUAAAGCGCGCGUAGGCGGCCCGGUAAGUCCGCUGUGAAAGUCCAGGGCUCAACCCUGGAAAGCCGGUGGAUACUGCCGGGCUAGAGUCCGGAAGAGGCGAGUGGAAUUCCCAGUGUAGCGGUGAAAUGCGUAGAUAUUGGGAGGAACACCGGUGGCGAAGGCGGCCCUCUGGACCGGUACUGACGCUGAUGCGCGAAAGCGUGGGGAGCAAACGGG